GUUAUAUCCUCUUCUUUGAUCAUUAUAUAGUGUCAUUCUUUGUCUCUCUUCAUGGCCUGUAUUUCAAAGUCUAUUUUAUAUGAGUAUUGCUACUCAUGCUUUCUUUUGGUCUCCAUUUGCAUGAAAUAUCUUUUUCCAGCACUUCACUUUCAGUCUGUAUGUGUCCCUUAGUUUGAUGUGAGUCUCUUAUAGACAGCAUAUAUAGAGGUGUUGCUUUUGUAUCCAUUCAGCCAGUCUUUGUCUUUUGGUUGGGGCAUACAACCCAUUUACAUUUAAGGUAAUUGUUGAUAAGUAGGAUCUUGUUGCCAUUUACUUUGUUGUUUUGGAUUUAUAGUAGUAGUUUAUAAACCUCUUCUGUGUUUCCUGUCUAGAGAAGAUCCUUUAGCAUUUGUUGAAGAGCUGUUUUGGUGGUGCUGAAUUCUUUCAGCUUCUGCUUGUCUGUAAAGCUUUUGAUUUCUCCUUCAUAGUUGAGUGUGAUCCUUGCUGGGAACAGUAAUCUGGGCUAUAGGUUUUUCUCUUUUAUCACUUUAAGUAUGUCCUACCAUUCCCUUCUGGCCUGAAGAGUUUAUAUUGAAAGAUCAGCUGAUAUCCUUCUGGGGAUCCCCUUGUGUGUUAUCUGUUGCUUUUCCCUUGCUACAUUUAAUAUUUGCUCUUUGUGUUUGAUCUUCAUUAGUUUGAUUAAUAUGUGUCCUGGGGUGUUUUGCCUUGGGUUUAUCAUGUUGGGACUCUCUGGGUUUCUUGGACUUGGGUGGCUACUUCCUUCCCCAUUUUAAGGAAGUUUUCAGCUGUUAUGUACUCAAGAAUUUUCUCGUGGCCUUUCUUUUUGUCUUCUUCCUCUGGAACUCCUAUGAUUUGAAUGUUGGGGUGUUUAACAUUGUCCCAGAGGUCUCUGUGGUUGUCCUCAUUUCUUUUAAUUCUUUUUUCUUUUUUCCUUUCUGCUUCACUUAUUUCCACCAUUCUGUCUCCCACCUCACUUAUCCUCUCUUCUGCCUCAGUUAUUCUACUGUUUGUUCCCUCCAGAGUGCUUUGGAUCUCAGUUAUUGCAUUAUUCAUUAUUGAUUGACUCUUCUUUAUUUCUUCUUUGUCCUUGUGAAACAUUUCUUUCAUCUUCUCAAUCCUUGUCUCUAGUCUAGCUGUAACUCCAUUGUGUUUUCAAGAUUUUGGAUCAUCUUUACUAUCAUUAUUCUGAAUUCUUUUUUUCAGGUAUACUCCCUAUCUCCUCCUCUUUUGUUUGGUUUAAUGGAAAUUUAUCAUGUUCCUUUACCUGCUGAAUAUUUCUCUGCCUUUUCAUUUUGUUUAGAUUGCUGUGUUUGGGGUGCCCUUUCUGUGUCUGGGUUGCCUCUUUAUUGUGGAGCCUGCUUCCUACGGGUGGGGUUGGACUAUUGGUUUUUCAAGGCUUCCUGGUCAGGGGAACUUGUGUUUGUGUUCUGGGGGGUGGAAAUGAAUCUCUUUUCUCUGAAGUGCAACAAAGUGUCCAGUAGUGAGUUUGGGGUGUCUAUGGAUUUGGCAUGGAUUUGGGAAGUCUGUCUUUUAAUUUUCAGGGCUGUGUUUCUGCUUUGCUGGAAAAUUAUUGUGGUGUGUCUUGCUCUGGAACUUGUUGGCUCUUGUGUGGAGCUUGGUUUCAGUGUAAGAAUAGAGACUUUGGGUGAGCUCUUGUCUAUCAAUGUUGCCUGGAAUCACGAGUUCUCUGAUGUUGUCAAGUUUUGGACUUAAGCCUCCUGCCUCUGCCUUUCAGUCUUAUAUUUACAGUAGCCUCAAGACUUCUCCAUCCAUACAGGACAGAUGAUAAAGCAUCUAGGUUAAUGGUGAAACAAUUCUCCACGUUGAGGGACACCUAAAGAGGUUCUCAGAGUUACAUGGAGAAGAAAAGAGGGAGGAGGGAGAUAGAGGUGAUGAGGAGGAGAAGAGGGGGAGUCCAAAGGGAAAGACCAGUCUAGCCAGUAAGCAGUUCCCUAAGUGUUCUCCACAGCCUGGAACACGCAGAGAGAUUCACAGAGUUAAAUGGAGAAAAGAAGAGGGAGGGUGGAGAUAAAAGUGACCUGGAGGAGAAAAGGGAGAGUCAAAAGGAGAGAACAAUCAAGCCAGUAAUCACAACCCUAAGUGAAAAUGGAUACUGAAGAUUAGAUUAUUAAAGGUGCAAAAUUGAUAACAAAUACCAAAAAGCAAAGAUUAAAAAUCUAGAGUAGAGGUUAGAUUCUCAAAAAUACAAUAUUAAAAAUACAAAGCAAAAUCAAUCACAAAAAUUAUAAAAAAUAUAUAUAUGAUAUUUGCUUUAAAAAUAGGGUCUUUUUUUUGCAAAGUAAUAGUACGUUAUAAAAAUGAAUAUUAAAGGAGUAAUAAAGAACUUCAAUUUGAAAAAAAAGAUCAAAAAGUAAUAAUAAAUAGUAUAUCCAGGAAUUUCUCUGGCACUGUUGUGGGCAGUAUGGGGUCAGUUCAAUUUCAGAUAGUUCUUGUUGCUGUCUGUUCUUGUUCUCAAAGUCUAUAUGCCCCCUCCAAUGCUUAAUCAAUGUUAACGACAGGGUUUUAAUCUGAUGUACCUGUCACUUCCAGAGCGGUUUCCUCUUCUUUGUUUAUUUUGGCUUCCUCUGUUUGCAAGUCUCUUCAAUGUCUAAUUUCCACCCUAACACAAGGGGGCAAAGGUGAUGACUUAUUUAGGCUCACUUGUUCAGUUGUGCUGUGGGAAGGGAGGGACACUGCAAACAAAUAUUGCUGACAUGUGGGAAUGCUCGCAGUGUAUGGACCACACUGGGUUUGCCCCAGCUCAAGGUGGUGUGUGCUUCCUGGGUCUACACUGCUUAGGCUCCAGGGUGUUUUGCAGGGGCACUGUCCAAAGCAGGCCCUGCAUUUUGUACACUUCCAAGGCCUAAGCCGCUCAGGUUCUUGGGUACUCUGCAAGGGCACAGACUUGGUUGGGCCUGUGUUUUGUUCCCUUCCCAGGUCUAAGCAGCUUAAGCGACCAGGUGCUUGGUGAGUGUACUGUCCCAGGUGGGCCCUGUAUCUUAAUCACCUCCCUGGUUCUGGCUGCUCGGUAUCCUGGGUGCACCAUGAGAACACUGUCUCAGGUGUGCUGUGUCUCCCCUCUGGGGAGAUGAUCUCAGGCUGCAACCCUCUUGGCAGAUGUCAACUGUCCAGCAUCCCAGGAAGAUCGGUUAGCAACUUGGAGCCUGUUCAAAGUUUGGUGGAGGAUGCCAUCUCUGUGACUGAGGUUGCAGCAGCCCCUUGCCUUCCGGCUCUGGCUGUCACCCACCUGCCUCUCUGCCUCUUGGAGGGGGAGGGGCCUGCAGGCAGCAGGCUAGCUCUCCUUUGUAUUCACUCAAUUCUUUGUUCUGUGAGCAGGCUGGGCUGCGCCUUAGAGCCUUCCAUAGGAAAGUUCUGUUUUGUUUUGUUUUGUUUUGUUUUCUCUUGUUUUCUCUCUAGCGAUCCCACAGUUUGGGUUGCUGUCUCACUUUAGCUCCCUCAGAUUGUCCUCCAGCAUUCAGGUUCGCUCCUUACCCUAAGAACCUAUUAUGCAACCUUCACCUCCCUGUCCAGUCCCCUCUUGCUGGUGGCGGACAUGCAUCUGGGCUACUUCUCCGCUGGCAGUCGUAGUUAGGUGCGUAGUCUGUGUGUUUUUUUGUUUUUUCUCCUGGUUAUGUUGCCCUCUGAGAUUGCAAAACUCCCCACAGGCCCGCCUGUGAGAAGGUUUCUUACUAUGUGGAAAUUGCUCCUCCUUCACAACUCCCUCCAUAGGAUGGGUCUCAGUCCCUAACUCUUGUGUCUCUCUUUUUGUCUUUUAUAUUUUGUCCUGCCUCCUUUUGAAGAGAAUGGGCUGCCUUCCUGGGUGCCUGGUGUCUUCUGCCAGCAUUCAGAAGUUGUUUUGUGGAAGUUGCUCAACAUUCAGAUGAUCUUUUGAUGAUUUUAGGGGAGAAAGUGGUCUCUCUGUCCUAUUCCUCCGCUAUCUUGGGACCACCCCUCCAAAUUUUAAUUAAAUUUAUGAAUAUGACCAUAGAAGAAUAAAAUUAAGUUAAGAGAAGGAAAAGUAAGCAAAAUGCUUGCAUUUCAUAGAGUUAACAGAUAGUAUCCUAAAAGGUUAAACUAUGAGAGGGAUACAAGCCUCAAGAGGAGAGUUACUGAGACUUAACCACAGAGGCCAUGAAGUAUGGUGGAUGGCUUCUGGAAGCCCAGAUGGAAAGAGUAGAAAAGUGAACUAUUGAGUUUCAGGAUUAUUUUGUUUUUUGCUCUGUACUUGUGUUUUUCUGGGGGGAAAAAAAAUUUAAAAGAAGCAUAGGAAACUAUACUCAAUAUCCUGUAAUAGCCUAUAAGGAAAAAGAAUCUGUAAAAGAAAAUGUGUGUGUGUGUGUGUGUGUGUAUGUAUGUAUGUGUGCAUGCGUUAUACACCUGAAACUAAUGAUAUUGUAAAUCAACUAUAUUUCAACUGAAAAAAAAAAAAAAUCCACCCUGGCCUCCAGAGAAAUCACUUCUGAUCCUUACAGACUCAUUUUGUCUAUAAGUAUUGACAAAAAUACUCUUCAAAAAUUAUAAGCAUGAUCCUUAUUCAAAUAUGUAAUGAAUGUAUGUCAGAGGUUUCAUUGAGCUCAUUGAUGAAUGAGAAUAAAAGCUAGAAAAGCUAGGUCAAUAAGUAUUUAAAGAAAGAGUGUCUGUGUAGUCCACCAUGAAAGGUGUUGGGAAUGAAUUUGAAUUUGAGACAAAGGGAUUCAUCCUACAGAGAAAUCGAAUUGUAAUCUUCAAAGUAUCUUUCCUCCAGGUUAUAACUCUGCAUGUUAACAAGUAGAUUCUCAAAGUCUGAGCUCUAGUGAACUAUAAAAAUAGUGAAGGCAAACACUGGCUGAUUCCCCUAGAGUGUUAAAUAAUCCUUGGGUGAACUUGUUCAACAAGGUCCACGUUUAACUUUUGAAAGGGUACCUUUUAGUCUCUAGAUUGCCAAGUUUUAGGUAACUUCUGUUUAUUAAAAAUCCCAAAUAUUACCUCAUGAAAGUUUCCCUGACCUUCUCACCAUCUGAUUUUUCUCUCCCUUUGUCUGUGUGUCCACAACAUACUCUGUCAUAGUGAUACCAACAUUAUGUCUGUGGUUCCUUGAUUUCUUCCAUCCUCCAGCAGAAAGCAAGCUUUCUCUACACUGACCUUUUUCAUAGAAAAUUUUCAAGUUAUUUGUUGGAUUAAUGAUGUAACUCUGAAAUGCUACUGGCUUCAAAAAUGGUAUAGACCUAACAGAAGCAGAAGAUAUUAAGAAGAGGUGGCAAGAGUACACAGAAGAACUAUACAAAAAUGAUCUUCAUGACCCAGAUAACCACAAUGGUGUGAUCACUCACCUAGAGCCAGACAUCCUGGAAUGCAAGGUCAAGUGGGCCUUAGGAAGCAUCACGACAAACAAAGCUGGUGGAGGUGAUGGAAUUCCAAGUGAGCUAUUACAAAUCCUAAAAGAUGAUGCUGUGAAAGUAUUACGCUCAGUAUUCCAGCAAAUAUGGAAAACAUAGCAGUGGCUACAGGACUGGAAAAGGUCAGUUUUGCUUCUAAUCCCGAAGAAAGGCAAUGCCAAAGAAUGUUCAAACUACUGCACAAAUGCACUCAUCGCACAUGCUAGCAAAGUAAUGCUCAAAAUUCUUCAAGCCAGGUUUCAAUAGUACAUGAACUGUGAGCUUCCAGAUGCUCCAACUGGAUCUAGAAAAUGCAGAGGAACCAGAGAUAAAAAUUGCCAACAUCCACUGGAUUAUGGAAAAGCAAGAGAAUUCCAGAAAAACACCUUUUUCUGCUUUAUAGACUAUGCCAAAGCCUUUGACUGUGUGGAUUACAACAAACUGUGGAAAAUUUUUAAAGGGACGAAAAUACCAGAGUCCACCUCACCUGCCUCCUGAGAAAUCAGUAUGCAGGUCAAGAAGCAACAGUUAGAACUGCACAUGGAACAACAGACUGGUUCCAUAUCAGGAAAGGAGUACAUCAAGGCUGUAUAUCAUCAACCUGCUUACUUAACUUAUAUGCAGAGUACAUCAUGAGAAAUGCUGGGGUGGAUGCAGCACAAGCUGGAAUCAAGAUUGCCAGGAGAAAUAUCAAUAACUUCAUAUAUGCAGAUGACACCACCCUUAUGGUAGAAAGCAAAGAAGAACUGAAGAGCAUCUUGAUGUAAGUGGAAGAAGCGAGUGAAAAAGUUGGCUUGAAACUCAACAUUCAGCAAACUAAGAUCAGAGCAUCUGGUCCCAUCACUUCAUGGGAAAUAAAUGGGGAAAGAAUGGAAACAGUGACUGACUAUUCUUUUGGCUUCAAAAUAACUGUAGAUAGUGACUGCAGCUGUGAAAUUGAAAGAUGCUUGCCCCCUGUAAGAAAAGUUAUGACCAAACUAGAUAGCAUAUUAAAAAGCAGAGACAUUACUUUGGCAACAAAGGCCUAUCUACUCAGAGCUAUGGUUUUUCCAGUAGUCAUGUAUGGAUGUGAGAGUUUGACUAUAAAGAAAGCUGAGCACCAGAGAACUGAUGCUUUUGAAUUGCAGUGUUGGAGAAGACUCUUGACAGACCCUUGGAUUGCAAGAUCCAACCUGUCAACCCUAAAGUAAAUCAGUCCUGAACAUACAUUGGAAGAUCUGACGCUGAAGCUGAAACUCCAGCACUUUUGGCCACCUGAUGUGAAGAACUGACUCAUUGGAAAAGACCCUGGUGCUGGGAAAGAUUGAGGCAGGAGGAGAAAGGGACGACAGAGGAUGAGAUGGUUGGAUGGCAUCGCUGACUCAAUGGACAUGAGUUUGAAUAAGCUCUGGGAGUUGGUGAUGGACAGGGAAACCUGGCAUGCUGCAGUCAUGGGGUUGCAAAGAGUCAGACACCACUGAACAACUGAGCUGAACUGAUCUUUAUAAUGCAGUGAAAAGAAAUCAGAAAUAAGAACACAGAAGAGGAAUGAUCAGUAAAUGAUUAGCUAGAAAAUCUCCUACAGAAUCUGUUGAUGUGGCAAUUUGUAAGUUGUCUCAGUAAAUAGCCAGGAGAAAUUCUCCUGUCUUUUACUGUAGUUAUACUCAUAUCUUAAAGGAUGUAAAAUUCACACAGAUGUACUGCCAGGCUAAAUGACUUAUUGUAGCCCCACCUCAUUCUUAGAUCUUUGUAAAGCUUUUUGUCUUAAUACCAAAUAAACUCUUCUGUUUAUUUCAUACUUGGGGCUAAGGAAUAGGGCCACUUUAACUUUCUUAAAACCCAUAAUCAUACUUUUUUUCCCUGCUGUUAGCAAUGGUCCCUCUCCAAACACAGCCUAUGAAAACAUUUUACUUGGAAACAGGAAUGACUUUUGACUUGUCUUGUCUCAAAGAAUACUUAGAGCUUCUGCUGCUGCUG
ensembl:lncRNA